UUUGUACUCCCUCCGUUUAAAAAUACUUGUCAUUAAAAUGAAUAAAAAAAUAUCUAAAUGUAUUUUAGUUUUAGAUACAUUCUUUUUAUUCAUUUUAAUGACAAAUAUUACCGAACGGAGAGAGUACAUC
rfam:Triticum urartu cultivar G1812 contig825590, whole genome shotgun sequence.